rnacentral:tRNA from 1 species
UGAGCCGUUAGCUUAGUUGGUAAAGCUGCUGACUCUUAAUCAGCUGAUCGUAGGUUCAAUUCCUACACGGCUCAA